rnacentral:rRNA from 1 species
CGCCCCCUGACUCCUCAUAGGGGGUCCAGCCUGCCCAGUGACUAAGUUAAACGGCCGCGGUACCCUAACCGUGCGAAGGUAGCGCAAUCACUUGUUCUUUAAAUGAGGACUAGUAUGAACGGCAUCACGAGGGUUACACUGUCUCCCCCUUUUAAUCAAUGAAACUGAUCUUCCCGUGAAGAAGCGGGAAUAAACAUAUAAGACGAGAAGACCCCAUGGAGCUUCAAACCCAGCAUCAACUGCCCCUAUCACACCAUUCAAUACAAGCAGACCAUGACCGCUGGUUUUCGGUUGGGGUGACCGCGGAGUAAAACAAAACCUCCACAAUGAAAGAAACACCUUCCUAAUCAAAGAGCCACAACUCAAAGAAUCAAUAAAUUGACAUAAAUUGACCCAAAUAAUUUUGAUCAACGAACCAAGUUACCCUGGGGAUAACAGCGCAAUCCAUUUCAAGAGCUCAUAUCGACAAAUGGGUUUACGACCUCGAUGUUGGAUCAGGGUAUCCCAGUGGUGCAGCCGCUACUAAAGGUUCGUUUGUUCAACGAUUAAAACCCU